AUUGAACGCUGGCGGCAGGCCUAACACAUGCAAGUCGAACGAGUGGCGGACGGGUGAGUAAUGUCUGGGAAACUGCCUGAUGGAGGGGGAUAACUACUGGAAACGGUAGCUAAUACCGCAUACCAUCAGAGGUGCCCAAAUGGGAUUAGCUAGUAGGUGGGGUAACGGCUCACCAAGGCGACGAGCCCUAGCUGGCCUGAGAGGAUGACCAGGCACAAUGGAACUGUGACAAGGUCCAGACUCCUACGUGAGGCAGCAGUGGGGAAUAUUGCACAAUGGGCGCAAGCCUGAUGCAGCCAUGCCGCUGGUAUGAAGAAGGCCAUCGGGUUGUAAAGUACUUUCAGCGGGGAGGCGUUACCCGCAGAAGAAGCACCGGCUAACUCCGUGCCAGCAGCCGCGGUAAUAC
rnacentral:rRNA from 1 species